AUUGAACGCUGGCGGCAGGCCUAACACAUGCAAGUCGAACGGUAGCACAGAGAGCUUGCUCUCGGGUGACGAGUGGCGGACGGGUGAGUAAUGUCUGGGGAUCUGCCCGAUGGAGGGGGAUAACUACUGGAAACGGUAGCUAAUACCGCAUAACGUCGCAAGACCAAAGUGGGGGACCUUCGGGCCUCACACCAUCGGAUGAACCCAGAUGGGAUUAGCUAGUGGGUGGGGUAACGGCUCACCUAGGCGACGAUCCCUAGCUGGUCUGAGAGGAUGACCAGCCACACUGGAACUGAGACACGGUCCAGACUCCUACGGGAGGCAGCAGUGGGGAAUAUUGCACAAUGGGCGCAAGCCUGAUGCAGCCAUGCCGCGUGUAUGAAGAAGGCCUUCGGGUUGUAAAGUACUUUCAGCGGGGAGGAAGGCGAUGCGGUUAAUAACCGCGUCGAUUGACGUUACCCGCAGAAGAAGCACCGGCUAACUCCGUGCCAGCAGCCGCCGUAAUAC
rnacentral:rRNA from 1 species